rnacentral:rRNA from 1 species
AACGCAGCGAAGGGCGAUAAGUAAUGUGAAUUGCAGAAUUCAGUGAAUCAUCGAAUCUUUGAACGCAUCUUGCGCUCCUUGGUAUUCCGAGGAGCAUGCCUGUUUGAGUGUCAUUAAUCCCUCAACUACAUCAAUCUUUCUGGUUUGGUGUGGCUUUUUGGAUGUGGGGGUCUUCUCUUGCUGGCUUCUAUUAAAAUGAGGUCGGCUCCCCUGAAAUUUAUUAGUGGUAUCUGAGCAGAGAGACCUACUACAGGUGUGAUAAAUUAUCUACACCUUGGUAAUGCUGCAUGAACAGAUUGUGCUGCUUCCAGUGAAUUAUUUGACAAAUUUGACCUCAAAUCAGGUAGGACUACCCGCUGAACUUAA